GUGCCAGUCGCCGCGGUAAUACGUAGGUGGCAAGCGUUAUCCGGAAUUAUUGGGCGUAAAGCGCGCGCAGGUGGUUUCUUAAGUCUGAUGUGAAAGCCCACGGCUCAACCGUGGAGGGUCAUUGGAAACUGGGAGACUUGAGUGCAGAAGAGGAAGGUGGAAUUCCAUGUGUAGCGGUGAAAGGAGUGGAGAUAUGGAGGAACACCAGUGUGGAAGGCGACUUUCUGGUCUGUAACUGACAC
rnacentral:rRNA from 1 species